rnacentral:lncRNA from 1 species
CACAGAUUGGAAAAAACACUGAGUCAUAGAGCAUUGGAAAUAUGUUCCGAGCAAGUAAACAGAUGCAUCGUAUUAGGACUAAAUUGUCUUAAUCCCGAUCCCAGUAAAAGGCCCUCUGCAUGGGAUAUACUACAAACGCUGAAUGAAUUGGAAAGCACAAAUUGACUACAAACGCUGAAUGAAUUGGAAAGCACAAAUUGUUGUUUUGACAUGAAUGAUGUACAACCAAUGGGCCAGGUAUGAUAAGUAAUGACGUGCACUGGUACAUGUUAUGCUAGUUUUUUAUUUUCAAUAAAGGGCAUUUUAUUGACUCCAAACAUCG